rnacentral:rRNA from 1 species
AUUUUCCGCAAUCGACGCAAGUCGGACGGAGCAACGCCGCGUGCGGGAAGACGGCCCUCGGGUCGUAAACUCCUUUUGUGAGGGAAGAAGUUCUGACGGUACCUCACGAAUAAGCACCGGCUAACUACGUGCCAGCAGCCGCGGUAAUACGUAGGGUGCAAGCGUUGUCCGGAUUUAUUGGGCGUAAAGAGCCCGCAGGCGGCCUGGCCAGUCUCAGGUGAAAUCUCCCGGCUCAACUGGGAGAGGUCCUGGGAAACUGCCAGGCUUGAGGCAGGGAGAGGGAUGUGGAAUUCCCGGUGUAGUAGUGAAAUGCGUAGAUAUCGGGAGGAACACCAGUGGCGAAGGCGGCAUCCUGGCCCUGUCCUGACGCUCAGGGGCGAAAGCGUGGGGAGCAA